rnacentral:rRNA from 1 species
AAUAGAUACCCCGGUAGUCCACGCCGUAAACGAUGAGUGCUAAGUGUUAGAGGGUUUCCGCCCUUUAGUGCUGCAGCUAACGCAUUAAGCACUCCGCCUGGGGAGUACGGCCGCAAGGCUGAAACUCAAAGGAAUUGACGGGGGCCCGCACAAGCGGUGGAGCAUGUGGUUUAAUUCGAAGCAACGCGAAGAACCUUACCAGGUCUUGACAUCCUCUGAUCUCCCUGGAGACAGGGCCUUCCCCUUCGGGGGACAGAGUGACAGGUGGUGCAUGGUUGUCGUCAGCUCGUGUCGUGAGAUGUUGGGUUAAGUCCCGCAACGAGCGCAACCCUUGACCUUAGUUGCCAGCAUUGAGUUGGGCACUCUAAGGUGACUGCCGGUGACAAACCGGAGGAAGGUGGGGAUGACGUCAAAUCAUCAUGCCUCUUAUGACCUGGGCUACACACGUGCUACAAUGGAUGGUACAAAGGGCUGCGAGACCGCGAGGUUAAGCCAAUCCCAGAAAACCAUUCCCAGUUCGGAUUGCAGG